GCAGUGGUGGUUCAGUGGUAGAAUUUUCACCUUCCAUGCAGAAGAACAGGGUUUGAUUCCCGGCCAAUGCA
rnacentral:tRNA from 1 species